ACGUGGAAAAAUUUGGAGAAGCCAGGUUCGUGCGUUGCAUUUGGAUGUUCGAACCGAAGAAAGAAAGGGAACUGCAUAAUAUUUCACAAGAAUACACCCAAGAGAGGAAAGGAUGUUACACACCACAUCUCCUUCCUAGUAGAGCUGUGCCUACUGUCUUUCCUGGACAUCCUCCCUAUAAACAGACCCAUGGCUCAAAACUCCCAGCAAAACCAUGUACAUGUACAACAUCCGAAAGUGUUCCCGUGCCUCCAAAGAAACCCUAUGACAUUACAAAAGAACAUGACUAUUCUUUUUCUGUCUGAGUUGAUUAGAAACUGAAUAUAACCAGACAGCAAGUGCAGGAUGCCAAGAAA